UUAAGCGACUAAGCGUACACGGUGGAUGCCCUGGCAGUCAGAGGCGAUGAAGGACGUGCUAAUCUGCGAUAAGCGUCGGUAAGGUGAUAUGAACCGUUAUAACCGGCGAUUUCCGAAUGGGGAAACCCAGUGUGUUUCGACACACUAUCAUUAACUGAAUCCAUAGGUUAAUGAGGCGAACCGGGGGAACUGAAACAUCUAAGUACCCCGAGGAAAAGAAAUCAACCGAGAUUCCCCCAGUAGCGGCGAGCGAACGGGGAGCAGCCCAGAGCCUGAAUCAGUGUGUGUGUUAGUGGAAGCGUCUGGAAAGGCGCGCGAUACAGGGUGACAGCCCCGUACACAAAAAUGCACAUGCUGUGAGCUCGAUGAGUAGGGCGGGACACGUGGUAUCCUGUCUGAAUAUGGGGGGACCAUCCUCCAAGGCUAAAUACUCCUGACUGACCGAUAGUGAACCAGUACCGUGAGGGAAAGGCGAAAAGAACCCCGGCGAGGGGAGUGAAAAAGAACCUGAAACCGUGUACGUACAAGCAGUGGGAGCACGCUUAGGCGUGUGACUGCGUACCUUUUGUAUAAUGGGUCAGCGACUUAUAUUCUGUAGCAAGGUUAACCGAAUAGGGGAGCCGAAGGGAAACCGAGUCUUAACUGGGCGUUAAGUUGCAGGGUAUAGACCCGAAACCCGGUGAUCUAGCCAUGGGCAGGUUGAAGGUUGGGUAACACUAACUGGAGGACCGAACCGACUAAUGUUGAAAAAUUAGCGGAUGACUUGUGGCUGGGGGUGAAAGGCCAAUCAAACCGGGAGAUAGCUGGUUCUCCCCGAAAGCUAUUUAGGUAGCGCCUCGUGAAUUCAUCUCCGGGGGUAGAGCACUGUUUCGGCAAGGGGGUCAUCCCGACUUACCAACCCGAUGCAAACUGCGAAUACCGGAGAAUGUUAUCACGGGAGACACACGGCGGGUGCUAACGUCCGUCGUGAAGAGGGAAACAACCCAGACCGCCAGCUAAGGUCCCAAAGUCAUGGUUAAGUGGGAAACGAUGUGGGAAGGCCCAGACAGCCAGGAUGUUGGCUUAGAAGCAGCCAUCAUUUAAAGAAAGCGUAAUAGCUCACUGGUCGAGUCGGCCUGCGCGGAAGAUGUAACGGGGCUAAACCAUGCACCGAAGCUGCGGCAGCGACGCUUAUGCGUUGUUGGGUAGGGGAGCGUUCUGUAAGCCUGUGAAGGUGUACUGUGAGGUAUGCUGGAGGUAUCAGAAGUGCGAAUGCUGACAUAAGUAACGAUAAAGCGGGUGAAAAGCCCGCUCGCCGGAAGACCAAGGGUUCCUGUCCAACGUUAAUCGGGGCAGGGUGAGUCGACCCCUAAGGCGAGGCCGAAAGGCGUAGUCGAUGGGAAACAGGUUAAUAUUCCUGUACUUGGUGUUACUGCGAAGGGGGGACGGAGAAGGCUAUGUUGGCCGGGCGACGGUUGUCCCGGUUUAAGCGUGUAGGCUGGUUUUCCAGGCAAAUCCGGAAAAUCAAGGCUGAGGCGUGAUGACGAGGCACUACGGUGCUGAAGCAACAAAUGCCCUGCUUCCAGGAAAAGCCUCUAAGCAUCAGGUAACAUCAAAUCGUACCCCAAACCGACACAGGUGGUCAGGUAGAGAAUACCAAGGCGCUUGAGAGAACUCGGGUGAAGGAACUAGGCAAAAUGGUGCCGUAACUUCGGGAGAAGGCACGCUGAUAUGUAGGUGAAGUCCCUCGCGGAUGGAGCUGAAAUCAGUCGAAGAUACCAGCUGGCUGCAACUGUUUAUUAAAAACACAGCACUGUGCAAACACGAAAGUGGACGUAUACGGUGUGACGCCUGCCCGGUGCCGGAAGGUUAAUUGAUGGGGUCAGCGCAAGCGAAGCUCUUGAUCGAAGCCCCGGUAAACGGCGGCCGUAACUAUAACGGUCCUAAGGUAGCGAAAUUCCUUGUCGGGUAAGUUCCGACCUGCACGAAUGGCGUAAUGAUGGCCAGGCUGUCUCCACCCGAGACUCAGUGAAAUUGAACUCGCUGUGAAGAUGCAGUGUACCCGCGGCAAGACGGAAAGACCCCGUGAACCUUUACUAUAGCUUGACACUGAACAUUGAGCCUUGAUGUGUAGGAUAGGUGGGAGGCUUUGAAGUGUGGACGCCAGUCUGCAUGGAGCCGGCCUUGAAAUACCACCCUUUAAUGUUUGAUGUUCUAACGUUGACCCGUGAUCCGGGUUGCGGACAGUGUCUGGUGGGUAGUUUGACUGGGGCGGUCUCCUCCUAAAGAGUAACGGAGGAGCACGAAGGUUGGCUAAUCCUGGUCGGACAUCAGGAGGUUAGUGCAAUGGCAUAAGCCAGCUUGACUGCGAGCGUGACGGCGCGAGCAGGUGCGAAAGCAGGUCAUAGUGAUCCGGUGGUUCUGAAUGGAAGGGCCAUCGCUCAACGGAUAAAAGGUACUCCGGGGAUAACAGGCUGAUACCGCCCAAGAGUUCAUAUCGACGGCGGUGUUUGGCACCUCGAUGUCGGCUCAUCACAUCCUGGGGCUGAAGUAGGUCCCAAGGGUAUGGCUGUUCGCCAUUUAAAGUGGUACGCGAGCUGGGUUUAGAACGUCGUGAGACAGUUCGGUCCCUAUCUGCCGUGGGCGCUGGAGAACUGAGGGGGGCUGCUCCUAGUACGAGAGGACCGGAGUGGACGCAUCACUGGUGUUCGGGUUGUCAUGCCAAUGGCACUGCCCGGUAGCUAAAUGCGGAAGAGAUAAGUGCUGAAAGCAUCUAAGCACGAAACUUGCCCCGAGAUGAGUUCUCCCUGACUCCUUGAGAGUCCUGAAGGAACGUUGAAGACGACGACGUUGAUAGGCCGGGUGUGUAAGCGCAGCGAUGCGUUGAGCUAACCGGUACUAAUGAACCGUGAGGCUUAACCUU
rnacentral:rRNA from 1 species